rnacentral:tRNA from 1 species
AGACGUUUAGCUCAGAUGGUUAGAGCGCGCGCCUGAUAUGCGUGAGGUCAUUGGUUCAAAUCCAAUAACGUCUA